rnacentral:rRNA from 1 species
UACGUAGGUGGCAAGCGUUGUCCGGAUUUAUUGGGUUUAAAGGGUGCGUAGGCGGCUUUGUAAGUCAGUGGUGAAAUACUCUAGCUUAACUAGAGGGGUGCCAUUGAUACUGCGGAGCUUGAGUACAGAUGAGGUAGGCGGAAUUGACGGUGUAGCGGUGAAAUGCAUAGAUAUCGUCAAGAACACCGAUAGCGAAGGCAGCUUACUGGGCUGUAACUGACGCUGAUGCACGAAAGUGUGGGGAUCAAACAGG